AACGCACCUUGCGCCCCUUGGCAUUCCGAGGGGCACACCCGUUUGAGUGUCGUGAAAUUCUCAAAAACCCUUCCUUUGGUGGAAAGGAUUUUGGACUUGGAGGCCUUUUGCUGGUUUCACCUUGAAGCGAGCUCCUCCCAAAUGGAUUAGUGGGGUCUGCUUUGCCGGUCCUAGACGUGAUAAGAUGUUUCUACGUCUUGGGUUUCUGCACUGUACCUCUGCUUCUAACCGUCUCAUUGACAAUGAUGGUGUUCCGGUCACCGCCGAUUUAUCGGUUGGGAGGCUUGACCCACAAAACGACCUUGACCUCAAAUCGGGUGAGACUACCCGCUGAACUUAA
rnacentral:misc_RNA from 2 species